AUUCUUGGGUGUGGGACAGCCAGGAGAUGGCUGACCUGCCAGGUUAUACUGUUAAAAGGACUCUGCAUCCUCAAUGCCAGCGGCCUCCUACCAAUCAGCAGUAACUCCUCAGUGUCUCUUCACAGCAAUAAAACCCUAACUAAGAAAUCUGCUAUGCGGUGCUAUGGGCAAGGGAAAGAUGCCCUCCCCCAUCCAUUGCCCUCGCCUCCUGCAGUGGGUGGGAGAGCUGGCCCUGCCCCUCACCUGCAGCAGCAUUCAGAAGAGUGGACCCUGCACCUUAUCUGGCCAGCACCACAGGGGAUGCAGAAACACAUCAAGCCUUCUAGCCGGAUGACAAAGCUAGUUGGAGAAUGUCGGAGUCACCACCUGCGGCUUCAUCAGCCUCUCUGCUCUUCUUUCUCUUCCUACAGUUUAGAGCAUCCCUAACUUGAAUGUUAGGGAGAUUUAACAUUUUUAAAAGAUGUGUUAUUAUUUUAUGUGUGAUAAGAUAAAAUGAAAUCAAAUAAUAUAAAAUAUAGGACAUUGUAUUCCCUGGAGACGGAGCCACAGGCAGUUGUGAGCUGUGCUGUGAUGCUAAGAACUGAACCUGGGUCCUCUGAAAGAGCAGAGAGCAGAGCGUUCUCAACUGCUGAGCCCUCUCUUCAGUACAAGCCAAUUUAGUGUCUUAAAAGCCUGAAAUAAAGAUAAAUGAACAAGUAAUUGUUUACCCA
rnacentral:lncRNA from 1 species